rnacentral:rRNA from 1 species
GACCUGAGAGGGUGAUCGGCCACACUGGGACUGAGACACGGCCCAGACUCCUACGGGAGGCAGCAGUGGGGAAUUUUGGACAAUGGGCGCAAGCCUGAUCCAGCAAUGCCGCGUGCGGGAAGAAGGCCUUCGGGUUGUAAACUGCUUUUGUCAGGGAAGAAAUCCUUUGGGCUAAUACCCUAGGGGGAUGACGGUACCUGAAGAAUAAGCACCGGCUAACUACGUGCCAGCAGCCGCGGUAAUACGUAGGGUGCGAGCGUUAAUCGGAAUUACUGGGCGUAAAGGGUGCGCAGGCGGCCCUGUAAGACCGGUGUGAAAUCCCCGGGCUCAACCUGGGAAUUGCGCUGGUGACUGCAGGGCUAGAGUACGGUAGAGGGGGGUGGAAUUCCUGGUGUAGCAGUGAAAUGCGUAGAGAUCAGGAGGAACACCGAUGGCGAAGGCAGCCCCCUGGGCCUGUACUGACGCUCAUGCACGAAAGCGUGG